CUUAACUGUUAAUUUGAUUAGGAUGGUGAAAUUCCAUCUACGAGGUAAAUGCUGAUACCUCACUCCCUGAGACUCCGAUAUGCCAAUCAGGCUUAUAACUGAAAGGUAUAAAGCUCGGUAAAGUCGGCCAAAAAGAAUCCUAAACAAAAGAAAUAUACUAGUACAGCUGGUUCAAAAGUGGCUAGAGCCCGCCCG
rfam:Lachnospiraceae bacterium TWA4 TWA4_scaffold00001, whole genome shotgun sequence.